AUACGUAGGUGGCAAGCGGUGUCCGGAAUUAUUGGGCGUAAAGCGCGCGCAGGUGGUUCCUUAAGUCUGAUGUGAAAGCCCCCGGCUCAACCGGGGAGGGUCAUUGGAAACUGGGGAACUUGAGUGCAGAAGAGGAUAGUGGAAUUCCAAGUGUAGCGGUGAAAUGCGUAGAGAUUUGGAGGAACACCAGUGGCGAAGGCGACUGUCUGGUCUGUAACUGACACUGAGGCGCGAAAGCGUGGGGAGCAAACAGGAUUAGAUACCCUGGUAGUCCACGCCGUAAACGAUGAGUGCUAAGUGUUGGGGGGUUUCCGCCCCUCAGUGCUGCAGCUAACGCAUUAAGCACUCCGCCUGGGGAGUACGGUCGCAAGACUGAAACUCAAAGGAAUUGACGGGG
rnacentral:rRNA from 1 species